CAGCUCUCCGAGUGGUAGGGAUGAUUAUUGGGCCUAAAGCAUCCGUAGCCGGCGCUGUAAGUUUUCGGUUAAAUCUGUACGCUCAACGUACAGGCUGCCGGGAAUACUGCAGCGCUAGGGAGUGGGAGAGGUAGACGGUACUCGGUAGGAAGGGGUAAAAUCCUUUGAUCUAUUGAUGACCACCUGUGGCGAAGGCGGUCUACCAGAACACGUCCGACGGUGAGGGAUGAAAGCUGGGGGAGCAAACCGGAUUAGAUACCCGAGUAGUCC
rnacentral:rRNA from 1 species